rnacentral:rRNA from 1 species
GACGAACGCUGGCGGCGUGCUUAACACAUGCAAGUCGAACGGAAAGGCCCUGCUUUUGUGGGGUGCUCGGGUGGCGAACGGGUAAGUAACACGUGAGUUACCUGCCCUUGACUUUGGGAUAACCUCAGGCAACUUGGGCUAAUACCGGAUAGGAGCUCCUGCUGCAUGGUGGGGGUGGGAAAGUUUCGCCGGUUGGGGAUGGACUCGCCGCUUAUCGGCUUGUUGGUUGGGUAGUGGCUUACCAAGGCUUGGACGGGUAGCCGGGCUGAGAGGGGGACAUGACCAAUCGGAACUGGAAUGAGACACGGACUCCUACGGGACGCAGGAGAGCAGAAUAUAGUAUAAUGGGCGGAAGCCUGAUGCAGUCCCGCAGCGUGGGGGAUGACGGCAUUCGGUUUGUAUUCCGCUUUCGCCUGUCACGAAGCGUGAGUGACGGUAAUGGGUAAAGAAGCACCGGCUAACUACGUG